AUUGAACGCUGGCGGCAGGCCUAACACAUGCAAGUCGAACGGUAGCACAGAGAGCUUGCUCUCGGGUGACGAGUGGCGGACGGGUGAGGAAUGUCUGGGAAACUGCCCGAUGGAGGGGGAUAACUACUGGAAACGGUAGCUAAUACCGCAUAACGUCGCAAGACCAAAGUGGGGGACCUUCGGGCCUCACACCAUCGGAUGUGCCCAGAUGGGAUUAGGUAGUAGGUGGGGUAAUGGCUCACCUGGGCGACGAUCCCUAGCUGGUCUGAGAGGAUGACCAGCCACACUGGAACUGAGACACGGUCCAGACUCCUACGGGAGGCAGCAGUGGGGAAUAUUGCACAAUGGGCGCAAGCCUGAUGCAGCUAUGCCGCGUGUAUGAAGAAGGCCUUCGGGUUGUAAAGUACUUUCAGCGGGGAGGAAGGCGGUGAAGUUAAUAACUUCACCGAUUGACGUUACCCGCAGAAGAAGCACCGGCUAACUCCGUGCCAGCCGCCGCCGUAA
rnacentral:rRNA from 1 species